AUUGAACGCUGGCGGCAGGCCUAACACAUGCAAGUCGAACGAGUGGCGGACGGGUGAGUAAUGUCUGGGAAACUGCCUGAUGGAGGGGGAUAACUACUGGAAACGGUAGCUAAUACCGCAUACCAUCGGAUGUGCCCAGAUGGGAUUAGCUAGUAGGUGGGGUAAGGGCUCACCUAGGCGACGAUCCCUAGCUGGUCUGAGAGGAUGACCAGCCACACUGGAACGGAGACAGGGUCCAGACUCCUACGGUAGUCAGCAGUGGGGAAUAUUGCACAAUGGGCGCAAGCCUGAUGCAGCCAUGCGGCGUGUAUGAAGAAGGCCUUCGGGUUGUAAAGUACUUUCAGCGGGGAGGCGUUACCCGCAGAAGAAGCACCGGCUAACUCCGUGCCAGCCGCCGCGGUAAUUC
rnacentral:rRNA from 1 species